AGGUACAGUUAUUUACUGUUGAAUGCAUUGCUUGAGCAGUUGCUUUACACAAGACCAUUUGAUGGCGGAUUGCAGAGGAGCAGCCACAUUGCCACUCCACUCAGCCACAAUACGCAUGCAGCAGAAGUAGCUAACGCUACCGGACGGUCAGGCGCCACGGAGUCGGGUCGUUGCCUAGCUACGGGGAGGAAACCUCCUAAAGUGAGAACCAUCGCUGCACAGUGAUCAACAACAUACAUGGCUGAAGAAGCUUUUCAGG